AUAGUUACUUGGGACAACAGUUUUAGCAGGGCUCUCUUUCUCCUUUCCUGAUCUCUCUGUUAAGCUGCCUGGCUCAUUUGAUAUCACAUCCAAAUUAUCAGCUGAUUGCUCUAUUGUUUUGGACAAUGCCCUGAAGCAUACCAAAAUGUGUCUGGAAUUGGUGGGUUCUUGGUCUUACUGACUUUAAGAAUGAAGUUGCGGACUUUUGCGGUGAUCCACCCUACCACAUAUUGUCUCCUAAUGGCCGUCCAGUUUAUCCUGGAGCCCUUGCAUGACACAGGCCUAUCGAAGCAUAGGAGAUGCCAAUAUUUUACCUCUUGGGUACUUUCUGUGUAGAAGAUUCAUAACAAGAACAAUACUUAUUCUGCAAUUCUUUAUAUAAAGCUCCAGAGGGAAGUGAGAAGGAUGUUCACUUGCUGGUGAGAGAAGGAGCUGGUUCCAUCCAUUACGCAGUCCCCUGGGAGCGCUAAAUGCAACUUUAUCUCAACGGGGAGUGGACGAUGAGCAGGACGUCGCUAGAGGGAAAGAGCCUCACUUCCCGUUUCCUUUGGCAGCGCCCUUUUCCCGACCUAAGGGAGCAGACCUUCGUUGGUUGGCGUGAGGACUGGCGGGAGAGGUUUUGUGCCAGGAUCCGCACUGUCUGGGGUGAACGCUCCUCACCUUUGACCUGAACCGCCAACUUCCCAUCCUCCACUUUUGGAGAGCGCGCCUGAUAGCUGCUGCCCACCUGGGCACUGACAUCCUCCUUCCGACCGGGUGCGGAGAAAGCACAAAGGAAGUAGACCAAGGAGACUGAAGGUGGUUAUGAAGACUGUGCAUCUCUGAGGACAUCUUAAACAAAGAUGACCCAAAUCUUUGAUCUUCAAAUAGUCGAUGUGAACUGCUUAACAAAAUGCCCUGGGAAAACUCUGUCUGAAACAAGCAGCUUGGGGGUUUGAUUUCAUUAGUUACUGGACAAGAACUGGAAUGGAGUGAAAAAUCUUCAUUCAUUUCUUGGUCAGAUGGAGAGAGGAGAAAAAAAGAAGUGGGUUUCCAUUCACUUCCAUUUUCUAACUGAUCAUUAGUUAGAGAACCUUUGGAAAGGUUUAGCUCAGUUUUUUCUUCCAACUUAUCAGGUUCCUCAAGAAAUUCACUGCCUUGAGAUGACUUUGAUAACCCAUCCAAAUCCAGUGACUUAAAACCGUUAUUACAAGGGCUCUUGCUGUUGUCUGACUCUGACAUCAUUGAAUCCAACUCAGAGAUUUUGUCAAGGUAAGCAGCAUCCAUCGAUGCUUCACUGGAUGUUCUUGUCCGGUUCAUUUCAAAAGAGCGAAUAGAAUUCAACCUUUUGGAUAAACAUAAGCCUGAUUUCUCACUCAAUUUUGAAGAUAUUUCUCCAACAGAAUUUGCUAUCGUGUUCCCCUCUGAACUUUCAAAAUCUAAGUUUUGGGCAUAGCUUGUGGAACAACAGUCCCAAAAUCCUGUCUUUGGGGAAGAAAAACAUUCUGAUUUCUUUUCAUUUUCACUUCUACUUAUAUCAUCUUCUGAAGAAUCUUUAUUAGAAACAUUUGAAGAAUCACAAAAAUCAUCAAACACCAAUUUUCUGAGAUGGUUUGAGUGCUUUUUGGAACCUCCUGCUUGGACCACAGAGCUCUCUCUAUUUUCUGGAGUACUGAGCUGAAGGCAACUAAGGGACAAAGGAGUACAAGGAGCUGGAAGAUCAUAAAGUUCUUCAUCUUUGUAGGGUACACAGUCACUUGGUUUAUUCCCCCAUUCUCUUUCCAAAUAAGUAUCCAUACUUGUAUCUGUCACAUCUAACAUUACUUCUACCUGUUCUUGAUAUAGGUCUUUGUUCUUAGAACAGUUAAGGUCUGCUUUGCUGGUACUUUCCUGCCUUGCAGAACUGGUGUCACACAGUCUGCUGCUGGAAGGCUUCGCUAGGUGAGAAGAACUGGAGGUGGAUGAGCCAGGCUGCUUUCUGGCACUAUCGCCUUGAUUCUUUGACACCACAUCCUCCUCACUGCCUUUGCUCCCUUUGCCAUCUGCAGAAAGUGCUGUCUGGCAAAUGGAAUUCAUAGCUUCUUUCUCUUCACUUGAAUUUUUUAGCUGUGCAACUUGAGAUUCUAGUUCCUCUAUAUACUUAUCACUUCGUUCCAGGGCUUUCUUGAGGCGAUUGGUUUCACGCUCAUACUGUUCUACUUUGGACUGAAGAGCAGCAACUGCAAACCUUCCAAACCUACAAAGAAUGGAAAGAUAGUUAAUCUUAUAACUCAAGCUUUUUUCUUUUCAAGGUUUGAGAGUGCAAACUGUCCCAGGCUAUUCUAAUUUCACCUAACAGUGACAUUUCAGACCACUCAAUGAGUAGGGCAAAUGCCAGAUGUAUAUUUUCAAAAAAUGGUUUCCCCACUUACAUAAUAAUAAACAUAUGAUAAUAAUAGC